UACGUAGGGGGCUAGCGUUGUCCGGAAUCAUUGGGCGUAAAGCGCGUGUAGGCGGCCCGGUAAGUCCGCUGUGAAAGUCGGGGGCUCAACCCUCGGAUGCCGGUGGAUACUGUCGGGCUCGAGUACGGAAGAGGCGAGUGGAAUUCCUGGUGUAGCGGUGAAAUGCGCAGAUAUCAGGAGGAACACCGAUUGCGAAGGCAGCUCGCUGGGACGUGACUGACGCUGAGGAGCGAAAGCGUGGGGAGCGAACAGG
rnacentral:rRNA from 1 species